CUGGUUGAUUCUGCCAGUAGUCAUAUGCUUGUCUCAAAGAUUAAGCCAUGCAUGUCUAAGUAUAAGCAAUUUGUACGGUGAAACUGCGAAUGGCUCAUUAAAUCAGUUAUCGUUUAUUUGAUAGUACCUUACUACAUGGAUACCCGUGGUAAUUCUAGAGCUAAUACAUGCUAAAAACCUCGACUUCGGAAGGGGUGUAUUUAUUAGAUAAAAAACCAAUGCCCUUCGGGGCUCUUUGGUGAUUCAUAAUAACUUGUCGAAUCGCAUGGCCUUGCGCUGGCGAUGGUUCAUUCAAAUUUCUGCCCUAUCAACUUUCGAUGGUAGGAUAGUGGCCUACCAUGGUGGCAACGGGUAACGGGGAAUUAGGGUUCGAUUCCGGAGAGGGAGCCUGAGAAACGGCUACCACAUCCAAGGAAGGCAGCAGGCGCGCAAAUUACCCAAUCCCAACACGGGGAGGUAGUGACAAUAAAUACUGAUACAGGGCUCUUUCGGGUCUUGUAAUUGGAAUGAGUACAAUUUAAAUCCCUUAACGAGGAACAAUUGGAGGGCAAGUCUGGUGCCAGCAGCCGCGGUAAUUCCAGCUCCAAUAGCGUAUAUU
rnacentral:ncRNA from 1 species